AACGAACGCUGGCGGCAGGCUUAACACAUGCAAGUCGAGCGCCCCGCAAGGGGAGCGGCAGACGGGUGAGUAACGCGUGGGGAUCUGCUUAGUGGUACGGAACAACACGGGGAAACUCAUGCUAAUACCGUAUAAGUCCUUCGGGAGAAAGAUUUAUCGCCAUUAGAUGAACCCGCGUCUGAUUAGCUAGUUGGUGAGGUAACGGCUCACCAAGGCGACGAUCAGUAGCUGGUCUGAGAGGAUGAUCAGCCACACUGGGACUGAGACACGGCCCAGACUCCUACGGGAGGCAGCAGUGGGGAAUAUUGGACAAUAGGCGCAAGCCUGAUCCAGCCAUGCCGCGUGAGUGAUGAAGGCCUUAGGGUUGUAAAGCUCUUUCGCUGGGGAAGAUAAUGACGGUACCCAGAGAAGAAGCCCCGGCUAACUUCGUGCCAGCCGCCGCCGUAA
rnacentral:rRNA from 1 species